UGGGUAGUCCGCAAGAGCGCACCCUUUUCUGAUUUGCCAGCACGUUAUGGUGGGGAUCUAAGGAUACCGUCUGGGACAACCAGGAGGAAGGUGGGGAUGAUGUCAAGUCAGUAUGUCCCUUAUGUCCAGGGCUACACACGUGUCACAAUGGUAAGUACAAUGGGUCGCCAACCCGCGAGGGGGAGCUAAUCCCAAAAAACUUACCCCAGUUCAGAUUGGAGUCUGCAACUCGACUCCAUGAAGGAGGAAUCGCUAGUAAUCGUGGAUCAGCACGCCACGGUGAAUACGUUCCCGGGUCUUGUACACACCGCCCGUCACGCCAUGGAAGUCAGCAGUACCCGAAGCCGGUGGCCUAACCUUCGGGAGGGAGCCGUCUAAGGUAAGGCUGGUAACUGGGGCGAAGUCGUAACAAGGUAGCCGUACCGGAAGGUGCGGCUGGAUCACCUCCUUUCU
rnacentral:rRNA from 1 species